UACAGAGACUGCAAGCGUUAUUCGGAUUCACUGGGCGUAAAGGGUGCGCAGGCGGCCGGGUGUGUCAGAUGUGAAAUCCCGAGGCUCAACCUCGGAACUGCGUCUGAAACUACUCGGCUAGAGUACUGGAGAGGGUAACGGAAUUCACGGUGUAGCAGUGAAAUGCGUAGAUAUCGUGAGGAACACCAGAGGCGAAGGCGGGGUCUCUGGGGCCAUUACUGACGCUGAGGAGCGAAAGCGUGGGGGAGCGAAACAGGAU
rnacentral:rRNA from 1 species